CAGUAGCCGCGGUAAAACAGAGGGUGCGAGCGUUAAUCGGAUUUACUGGGCGUAAAGCGUGCGUAGGCGGCUUUUUAAGUCGGAUGUGAAAUCCCUGAGCUUAACUUAGGAAUUGCAUUCGAUACUGGGAAGCUAGAGUAUGGGAGAGGAUGGUAGAAUUCCAGGUGUAGCGGUGAAAUGCGUAGAGAUCUGGAGGAAUACCGAUGGCGAAGGCAGCCAUCUGGCCUAAUACUGACGCUGAGGUACGAAAGCAUGGGGAGCAAACAGGAUUAGAUACCCCUGUAGUCCCUGUCUCUUAUAA
rnacentral:rRNA from 1 species